UCACAACUGCCCCUGAGGUCAUCCGUGC
rnacentral:piRNA from 1 species